rnacentral:rRNA from 1 species
CCUACGGGAGGCAGCAGUGGGGAAUUUUGGACAAUGGGCGCAAGCCUGAUCCAGCAAUGCCGCGUGAGUGAAGAAGGCCUUCGGGUUGUAAAGCUCUUUUGUCAGGGAAGAAACGGCUGAGGUUAAUACCUUUGGCUAAUGACGGUACCUGAAGAAUAAGCACCGGCUAACUACGUGCCAGCAGCCGCGGUAAUACGUAGGGUGCAAGCGUUAAUCGGAAUUACUGGGCGUAAAGCGUGCGCAGGCGGUUUUGUAAGUCUGUCGUGAAAGCCCCGGGCUCAACCUGGGAAUUGCGAUGGAGACUGCAAGGCUUGAAUCUGGCAGAGGGGGGUAGAAUUCCACGUGUAGCAGUGAAAUGCGUAGAGAUGUGGAGGAACACCGAUGGCGAAGGCAGCCCCCUGGGUCAAGAUUGACGCUCAUGCACGAAAGCGUGGGGAGCAAACAGGAUUAGAUACCCUGGUAGUCCACGCCCUAAACGAUGUCUACUAGUUGUCGGGUUUUAAUUAACUUGGUAACGCAGCUAACGCGUGAAGUAGACCGCCUGGGGAGUACGGUCGCAAGNUUAAAACGUUAAAUUGAAAUUGAGGCUUGACGUUGCGACGAGCACGAGGAGGAG